CUUCGGGAAUGGAUUAGUGGCGAACGGGUGAGGAACACGUGAAGAAUCUGCCCUCCACUUUGGGAUAACUCCGGGAAACCGGGGCUAAUACCGGAUACGAGGCCUGCGGGCAUCCGCGGAUUUGGAAAGUUUUUCGGUUAGGGAUGAGCCCGCGGCCUAUCAGCUAGUUGGUGAGGUAGUGGCUCACCAAGGCGACGACGGGUAGCCGGCCUGAGAGGGCGACCGGCCACACUGGGACUGAGACACGGCCCAGACUCC
rnacentral:rRNA from 1 species